UACGAAGGGGGCUAGCGUUACUCGGAUUGACUGGGCGUAAAGGGCGCGUAGGCGGCUUGUACAGUCAGACGUGAAAUUCCUGGGCUCAACCUGGGGGCUGCGUUUGAUACGUGUGGGCUUGAGUUCGGAAGAGGGUCGUGGAAUUCCCAGUGUAGAGGUGAAAUGUGUAGAGAUCGGGAGGAACACCGGUGGCGAAGGCGGGUCUCUGGGCAUCUCCUGACGCUGAGGCGCGAAAGCGUGGGGAGCGAACAGG
rnacentral:rRNA from 1 species